rnacentral:rRNA from 1 species
CCCAAAUUUGAAAUCUGACCCCCUGGGGCCCGAGUUGUAAUUUGGAGAGGAUGCCUCGGUGGAGGCCCCGGCCGAAGUGCCUUUGAACGGGCCGUCAGAGAGGGUGAGAACCCCGUCCGCGGUCGCCGGCCCCCACCGUGUGAGGCUCCUUCGACGAGUCGAGUUGUUUGGGAAUGCAGCUCUAAAUGGGAGGUAAAUUCCUUCCAAGGCUAAAUAUCCGCCAGAGACCGAUAGCGCACAAGUAGAGUGAUCGAAAGGUGAAAAGCACUUUGAAAAGAGGGUGAAACAGCACGUGAAAUUGUUGAAAGGGAAGCGCUUGCAACCAGAGUCGUCCGCGGGGGCUCCACCGACCCUCGGGCCCGGUGUACUCCCCCGCGGCCGAGCCAGCAUCAGCUCGGCCGGUCGGAUAAAGGCCGUGGGAAUGUGACACCCUCGGGUGUGUUAUAGCCCGCGGCACAAUACGGCCUGGCCGGGCUGAGGUCAGCGCCUUUGGCACGGAUGCUGGCGUAAUGGUUGUCAGCGGCCCGUCUUGAAACACGGACCAAGGAGUCUAACAUCUAUGCGAGUGUUCGGGUGUCAAACCCGUGAGCGGAAUGAAAGUGAACGGAGGUGGGAGCCCUCGGGCGCACCAUCGACCGAUCCGGAUGUCUUCGGAUGGAUUUGAGUAUGAGCAUAGCUGUUGGGACCCGAAAGAUGGUGAACUAUGCGUGAAUAGGGUGAAGCCAGAGGAAACUCUGGUGGAGGCUCGCAGCGGUUCUGACGUGCAAAUCGAUCGUCAAAUUUGCGCAUAGGGGCGAAAGACUAUC